rnacentral:tRNA from 2 species
GCUCGGAUGGCGGAAUUGGUAGACGCGCACGACUCAAACUCGUGUUCCUCCGGAGUGUGGGUUCGAUUCCCACUCCGAGUA